rnacentral:rRNA from 1 species
GAUGAACGCUGGCGGCGUGCCUAAUACAUGCAAGUCGAGCGAACGGACGAGAAGCUUGCUUCUCUGAUGUUAGCGGCGGACGGGUGAGUAACACGUGGAUAACCUACCUAUAAGACUGGGAUAACUUCGGGAAACCGGAGCUAAUACCGGAUAAUAUUUUGUACCGCAUGGUUCAAAAGUGAAAGACGGUCUUGCUGUCACUUAUAGAUGGAUCCGCGCUGCAUUAGCUAGUUGGUAAGGUAACGGCUUACCAAGGCAACGAUGCAUAGCCGACCUGAGAGGGUGAUAGGCCACACUGGAACUGAGACACGGUCCAGACUCCUACGGGAGGCAGCAGUAGGGAAUCUUCCGCAAUGGGCGAAAGCCUGACGGAGCAACGCCGCGUGAGUGAUGAAGGUCUUCGGAUCGUAAAACUCUGUUAUUAGGGAAGAACAUAUGUGUAAGUAACUGUGCACAUCUUGACGGUACCUAAUCAGAAAGCCACGGCUAACUACGUG